UAGGCAUUAGCCGCCAACUCCUCCACUCCUCCGUCUAUCUCUCUGUUUUACCUAUGUGUUUCUCUUUCCCCAUUUCAUAAAUUACUAGUUUAAGAAAUUGUCAUUGUUCCAUUUCGAUUUCCACGCCAAUACUCCUCACACAUGAUUCUCAUUUCUCAGCAGAUUAAAUCAUUGAGAAAUGGAGAUCUGAUUGAAUUUUGGUUAUUUUUAUGUUCUCUUUAAUCGUCAGACUCGCCGCCGUCAUGAUUGCCGCUCCACCAUCAUAUCUCCGACUCCUGUCUUGUUGCUGCCCCAACUAACACCGUUUUUAAGGUUUAAGGUUUAAGUCUAAUGCAGAGCAGCGAGAUAAAGUUCAUAGUUCAUCGUUUUUUUUCCAGUUGCAGUCAAGUGAAAGAGCUAGGAAAUAUUUGAAGAGGCGAAGAACUUAUAAAGAAUUAUAGUAUGGGAAGUGGGAACAUCAAUUUAUUCAUUUUUUGUUUUUAAUUUCAGUUGUAAAUUAGAGUUACUUCGUAAUAUGUAUGUUUGUGUAUUUGAACUUUAUUGUAAUAUUAACACAUAUAUACAAGAAGUUUUUGGAAA